AGAGUUUGAUCAUGGCUCAGGACGAACGCUGGCGGCGUGCUUAACACAUGCAAGUUGAACGAAGCGGUCUGAAAAGUUUACUUGGAGGAUCGACUUAGUAGCGGACGGGUGAGUAACGCGUGAGCAACCUACCUUUGUGAGGGGGACAACAGCUGGAAACGGCUGCUAAUACCGCAUAAGGCCACGGUAUCGAGUGAUACUGAGGUAAAAGAUUUAUCGCACAAAGAUGGACUCGCGUCCCAUUAGAUAGUUGGCGGGGUAACGGCCCACCAAGUCAACGAUGGGUAGCCGACCUGAGAGGGUGAUCGGCCACACUGGAACUGAGACACGGUCCAGACUCCUACGGGAGGCAGCAGUGGGGAAUAUUGGGCAAUGGGCGCAAGCCUGACCCAGCAACGCCGUGUGAGGGAAGAAGGUCUUCGGAUUGUAAACCUCUGUCCUUGGGGACGAAAAAAAAUGACGGUACCCAAGGAGGAAGCUCCGGCUAACUACGUGCCAGCAGCCGCGGUAAUACGUAGGGAGCGAGCGUUGUCCGGAAUUACUGGGCGUAAAGGGUGCGUAGGCGGCGAUGCAAGUCAGAUGUGAAAUACCCAGGCUUAACUUGGGGGGUGCAUUUGAAACUGCAUUGCUUGAGUGCAGGAGAGGAAAGCGGAAUUCCUAGUGUAGCGGUGAAAUGCGUAGAUAUUAGGAAGAACACCAGUGGCGAAGGCGGCUUUCUGGACUGUAACUGACGCUGAGGCACGAAAGCGUGGGGAGCAAACAGGAUUAGAUACCCUAGUAGUCC
rnacentral:rRNA from 1 species